rnacentral:lncRNA from 1 species
GGACCUCAAAACAAUGAUAGUAGUGGCCUCAGCAGGGGCAUUGGAAUUUUGUUUACAGAGCCUACCACUGGCAGGUGUGGACAGCAUGUUCUGAGACCUUUCUUCCCUGCCUCUUCUCUGCCUUCUGAGGCUGAAGGACUGGAUGAGCUGCGUUCAUCAGCUCUUCCUUUGUUGAACUUUCUGGCAACAUGGAAGCCCAUUGAGGAUGGACCAGAAAGCACCUCGAUUAUUCCUCCAAAGAGGCAGCGAUGCUCCCGCAGGCUAUGUGAGCUGGUGACGGCAUAGCCUGUAAUAAAUGAGCACGUAUGUCUCCGGUUUCUUACGCAGGGUGCCUUCUGGGUGGUUGGAAUGGAGGUUUCCCAUAGAGGCUUAAGCCUUCAGGGGUAGAUGUUGAUUAUAUACUCCCACUGCUAUGGUGGGACUCCUUCUCCUAUUGCCCUGCCCUUCGGUCACUUCGGAUCUUCCUCCACCUUCACUAGCCCUUCCUGGUCUCUCUUGGGGUCCUCGCUUCAGUCUCCUUUGGGCCAGGAUUUAGGAAGUGUCUGGAUGGCACUGGCUUCAUAGAGGAGACUGCCUGCUCAGGUGGCAAUUGGAAAGUCAGUUUGCAUCCUGGACAAUCCACUUAACUUUCUUGAAUGAGGAAUAUCAUGGACUUGCCGGCAGACGGCACUGAGCUAACCUGAGAGUCCUGCGGGGACACGGAGUAUGGACUCCAGGGAGAAGAGCUGAGCCCGUGGGAUCAGAUAAGCGCCUCUUAGCAAUGGAAAACCGAGGGGAGGAAAACACGCGUUUGCAAUAGAAGAGCCUGCGAAGACACGUGAUUGCAGUAGGGGCGGGGGUGGGGGUUGGAGAGGCACAGGGUCAUCACGGUGGUGAUGCCUGGAGAAGUGGUGAGCGCUGGAGGGCGGUGGCGGCUGGGGCGUGGGGGCACAAGGCGGGAGCGAGGCUCGCCUAGGAGGGUGCCACGAAGAGCAACUGUGCACUGCGGGGUCCUCGGGAGCGGGCUGGGGGACGCAGGACGGGGUCCCCGGCUUGCGACCCCUCCGCGACGAAGCUCACGCUGCCCAGCGGAUGUUGGACCCACUGCAACGGGUGACGGAGAAACGGUGCGCGAGCCAAGGGCGCGAAGACCUAGCGGCCAAGGGCAAAGGGCGAGGUCCAACGGCCCAAGCCCAGCUGACUCCCCGAGCCUUCGAGCCUUCCCUCACCUCGUUCCAGGCGUUUGGCACCCAAAGGGCCACGCCAGGUAG